GUGAGGAAUAUUGCGCAAUGGAGACAACUCUGACGCAGCCAUGCCGCGUGCAGGAAGAAGGCGCUACGCGUUGUAAACUGCUUUUAACCGGGAAGAAACCCCAGGACGUGUCCUGGGUUGACGGUACCGGAGGAAUAAGCACCGGCUAACUUCGUGCCAGCAGCCGCGGUAAUACGAAGGGUGCAAGCGUUAUCCGGAUUCAUUGGGUUUAAAGGGUGCGUAGGCGGAGCGUUAAGUCAGUGGUGAAAUCCUGCAGCUUAACUGUAGACUUGCCAUUGAUACUGGCGCUCUUGAGUGCGCUUGAAGUGGGCGGAAUGUGCCGUGUAGCGGUGAAAUGCUUAGAUAUGGCACAGAACACCAAUUGCGAAGGCAGCUCACUAAGGCGAUACUGACGCUGAGGCACGAAAGCGUGGGGAUCGAACAGGAUUAGAAACCCGAGUAGUCC
rnacentral:rRNA from 1 species